rnacentral:lncRNA from 1 species
CCUCGGGCGGCAACGGCGCGGUCUCUUGGGCGGCAUUGAAAAAGAUGGUGACCGUGUCCAUUUGGAGCGCAAAGGCUCGUGCGGCAAACCCCUAUGUCGAUGGUCGUUGGGGCGAUGGAGGCGUCCUUGUCCUCUUGCGCCGUGUUCCAUCAGGGUCCCACUACGAGACGGGCUCGUCCAACCUUUUGGAAAGCCACAGUGGGCACCAAGGGCGCCAUUGCCCUUUUACCGCGGACCCGCACAAACAACCUAGGCAUAGCGCCGAGGAGCGAAAAAAUCAGGCCCGGCGUGCGUGCACACACGAGAUGCCAUUGUCCGUUAUCGGCAUCAAUAAAAAU